rnacentral:rRNA from 1 species
UACAGAGGUCCCAAGCGUUGUUCGGAUUCACUGGGCGUAAAGGGUGCGUAGGUGGUGAGGUAAGUCGGAUGUGAAAUCUCCAGGCUCAACCUGGAAAUGGCAUUGGAAACUACCUUGCUAGAGGGUUUGAGGGGGGACUGGAAUACUUGGUGUAGCAGUGAAAUGCGUAGAUAUCAAGUGGAACACCAGUGGCGAAGGCGAGUCCCUGGAAAAUACCUGACACUGAGGCACGAAAGCUAGGGGGGAGCAAACAGG